UCCCUGGUGGUCUAAUGGUUAGGACUUGGUGCUUUCACUGCCAUGGCCCAGGUUCAAUCCCUAGUCUGAAAA
rnacentral:tRNA from 1 species